rfam:Nicotiana attenuata strain TT scaffold04009, whole genome shotgun sequence.
GUCUCUGAUGAUGAACAAAAUAUAACUUUCGUUCUUCUGAGAUUAACUAUGCGGAAAGUUAUGGAGACCUGAACUGAAGAGAC